rnacentral:rRNA from 1 species
GAAUAUUGGACAAUGGGCGAAAGCCUGAUCCAGCCAUGCCGCGUGAGUGAUGAAGGCCCUAGGGUUGUAAAGCUCUUUCAACGGUGAAGAUAAUGACGGUAACCGUAGAAGAAGCCCCGGCUAACUUCGUGCCAGCAGCCGCGGUAAUACGAAGGGGGCUAGCGUUGUUCGGAAUUACUGGGCGUAAAGCGCACGUAGGCGGAUUGUUAAGUGAGGGGUGAAAUCCCAGGGCUCAACCCUGGAACUGCCUCUCAUACUGGCAAUCUCGAGUCCGGAAGAGGUGAGUGGAAUUCCGAGUGUAGAGGUGAAAUUCGUAGAUAUUCGGAGGAGCACCAGUGGCGAAGGCGGCUCACUGGUCCGGUACUGACGCUGAGGUGCGAAAGCGUGGGGAGCAAACAGG